AUUGAACGCUGGCGGCAUGCUUUACACAUGCAAGUCGAACGGCAGCACGAAAGAGCUUGCUCUUUUGGUGGCGGGUGGCGAACGGGUGAGUAAUGCAUCGGAACGUACCGAGUAAUGGGGGAUAACUGUCCGAAAGGAUAGCUAAUACCGCAUACGCUUUGAGAAGGAAAGUGGGGGCUCUUCGGACCUCACGUUAUUCGAGCGGCCGAUGUCUGAUUAGCUAGUUGGUGGGGUAAAGGCCUACCAAGGCGACGAUCAGUAGCGGGUCUGAGAGGAUGAUCCGCCACACUGGGACUGAGACACGGCCCAGACUCCUACGGGAGGCAGCAGUGGGGAAUUUUGGACAAUGGGCGCAAGCCUGAUCCAGCCAUGCCGCGUGUCUGAAGAAGGCCUUCGGGUUGUAAAGGACUUUUGUUAGGGAAGAAAAGGAUAGUGUUAAUACCAUUAUCUGCUGACGGUACCUAAAGAAUAAGCACCGGCUAACUACGUG
rnacentral:rRNA from 1 species